ACCAACGAAAACGGGAUUCGAAGGGAAAACAAACAAACAAACAAACAAAAAUUCGGUUAGGGCAGUCCCGGCAGGGGAGGGCUCCUGAUAUACCUAACAGGCCAACAAAAAACCUCCAAGAGAGAAAGGCUAAGAGAGCUCGACACCACAAGACGUCUUGCAACCACCUUAAAACAACUGACCUCCACCACCUGUCCCUUCCUGGGCUGGUCCAGGGGAGAAAGUAGCCUUAUAAAGAAAAGGGAUCCCGCACAAGCCUGAUCACCACUGCAGGGGCCCGGGAUAGUCCGGCGAAACCACAAAAGCGUUAGCGUUGCCACGACACACAGCUCCUAGACCCUCCAGAAAACUGCAGGGGGGGGAUUGUAGCCCGCGCGGCGCCUCCCCCUUACCGCCACUAACCUGAACGGCUGGUCUUCCAGAAACCUUUUCACCCUGUCUCGUACUGCACCGCUCUCACCCUCGUCCCUCACCAAGCAACCCAGUCCCACAGAGAAGACGUGUCUAAAUAGAAUGGUCCUCCUCGGGCCACACCUCCCCCUCAUCCGAGCCCCGCUACCACCACCAGACCUCAACCUCCCAAACACCAGACCUACGUCCUUUUGGUGCUCUCACCGCCAUCUCCCCCCUCCCCUGUCCGAGCGACCCCACCUCCCCCCGGCUCUCCAGCACCCUACAACCUCGGAGUGGCACUAGGGAAGAAAAAGGGUUCUUCCCUGCACGACGUGACCGCCUCCAUUCCCCGUCCUUCUCCUCUCCCUCUCCCGUCUCAGGGUUCCCUCUCACCUAUUCCCUUGUCCUCCAACCCCCAUCCCCCUCGAACUCCUAUAGCCCCCCGAGCCCUGCCCUACAAACUAAGCUCAAAGCGCUCUUAGGCAAUAAUUUCCACCGCUUCGGCGCACCGCAGUGCGCCUUCUGAAACCGACAGGAUCGGGUGGUCGGGUCCCACCCUGUCCCAGCCUCUCCGCGGGGUGCCCAGCGCCGUGAAGGAGCGCAGACGCGCCCAGAAGUCCACCACUGCCCGGGCGCAGGCCCGCUCCAAGGGGGUUGCUGCGGGUGCUGCUGCUGCCGCGCCUGCCGUUGCUGCUACCGCCCCUGUCGCCGUGUUCCUCUCCUGCGUUUGGUCCUCAUCCCCCGGCGCAUUCAGUGCAGGCCCCGUCUGCGGUCCCGCCCCGUCGGCCUGGAUGAAAAAGUCCGUUAUCCGCCUCUGUCUGGGGCCGGGUACCUGCACCUGCUGCGCGUGCUCCCGGUUCUGUGGUCCUUGGCUCCCAGCUCGUUCCUGCCUCCUGCCUGCUGCCCUCAGGCAGCAUCUGCCAAC
rnacentral:lncRNA from 1 species